UCGAAUCAUCAUGAUUUAUGUAAAAUUUUAAGAUUUGAAUAGUUUAAGGUUAACCCUAUGCAAUGACGACUAUAUAUACAUAGACAUAAACUAGUUUUUAGAGGAAACGAAAGUGUAGAUCGGUGGGGAUAAGAGAGAAAAUGAACUGCUUCAACAGUACUAUAUUGAAUUCCCUUCUUUUUAAUACUUACUUCGCGGAAAUAAUAUCGAGUCUCGUGUCCUCUUAAGUUCCGCUGGUGUUAAACAAUUCAUAAAAUAUCUUGUGUCCCUGGAUGUAAAACAAGAUAUAAGAAUGAAGGGAAGGAUCUUCAUGUAUUCCUGAAGAAAGAAGAUCUUCGCCAUGAAUGGACUCAAGCCAUCCCACGAUCUAAUUGAAAGCCAAGUCAGAUUUUCCGAUAUCUAUUUCAACCCCUCCAACUAUGGAGUUACUUCUCAGGACACCAAUUUGAGGAGUAAAAUUUUUUUUCUGUCCUCAACUCCAAGAAAGCCUGAAACCCACCGCGAUAGCAUCCAAUUUUCCAGCAGAACGAAUCCCAUCCAUCUCAAAGCUAGAAAGUCAUAUCCAUGGAAUGUCUUUACCUUUUUAUAUAUUGAUUCAAUGGAAAGAAGAAUCCGUCUUGUUGUAUACCCUUGUAAUUGCCUCUUAUCCUCAUUUGAAAUGGAAAUCCUCUGGCUAUGAGAUAUUUUUUGAGUUGAACCCAAGCGCUAUCAUUACAUGAACGAGUCAGUUAUGCAAAUGGAUUUCCAAUACUAAAUCCCUAGGUUCUGAAACAGUUAUGUCAAAAAAAGACUUUGUCAUUGAGAAUUACAAUGACUCACUCAACGGUAUUGUGGAAAAUAUCGAUAGCAGCUUAAAACCAUCGUUAUUUUUUUUUGACUGAACAUUUUGAAUUUUGUAAAUCCAAAACAGGAAAUAGGAAAUACUCCCAAAGCCCGCUGGGUAAAUUUUGUUGCUAAUUUAAUAUGUUAAUUUUCAGUAAUGACUCUUAUUUGGAAAAGGCCAUCGACAUCUUUGUACAAACUUAUAUUGAGCGAAGGAAUAAUGAAAUUACAAUCUAUUCAAUAGUUAACAAGGCUCUCAAGGUGCUUUAUAGUGGAUACAGGACUUAGUCAUCAAACCAUGAAAUAUUGUGAACAAAGACUCAAGAAUCUCAACGAUAGAGAAAGAUUUGUAAUAAUUAAUUAUGGAUGAAAUAUAGGGUUUGUGAGUAUAAAGGAGGUAAAUUUUACCACAUUGAGCAAGGAGGGGAUACACCAACCAAUACUUUAGCUUGUGUUAUGAUCAAGAGUUUAAGUAAAGAAUAUGAAGACACUAUUGCAAUGGUACCUUCGACAAAAUUAAAUUAUAAAAUUAUUAGAAGAUUAUUCCACUAAGUUGUGUAAGCAAUAACAUCUGUUGAGCCAGUUGCAUCACUGCUUGAUGGAUAUUCAGCAAACAGUUGAUUCCACACUGAAGAGCUAUGCAACAGCACAUUUGAUACGCAUAUAGUCAACCCUUGUGAUACUGAAAAAAUGUUAUUUUUGUUAUUAAGUGCAUACAACAACUUAUUGGGAAGAAAUUUUUUGAAAUGUCCUUCGUUUGAUGGUGAAGAAAUGAUUGCUGAAUUUAUUCAUUUAAAAAAGUUAUAUUAUCUCGUCCAUAUUGUCUAUAGUUAAAUGCUCUUCUUGUAAAAUUUACUUCAUAAGUGAAGAGGACAACUCGCAAUGUAACCUUCAAUGCUAUCUCUGUUUGACGAAAUCAAUAACCUCACCCUUGAAUAACAAAAGUAUUUUAUCAGAAAUAUCUCGGGAGGAUCUUUAAUAGAAUCGUCAGACGAACUAUUUAUAUUGAUUCAGAAAGCCUGGAAAUAUUAUGUAUCUAUUUUUCAAUCUACUGAACAUAAAAUAAUACUUUUAUAUAACUCAAACACACGAAAUCUCUUUUUUGAAAGUUCCAUCCAGCACUUAAAAAAGGAUUCUAGUUUUUUGCUUGAUUGACAAAGUGAGAAUGGUCAUCUGUUCAAAAAAUAUAUGAGGCAAGAUGUAUUUAAGUUAUUUAAUCUCAUGAGCAAAAAUUUUGCUCAUGAGAUUAAUUACUUAAUUCAUGAAAGUCAAAAGAAAUAUGCAAAAACGGUAAAAAAAAUAUUUCGGAUACGGUAAAGAAGUUGAGAUCUGAGAAGAAAUGAGCUUCAUGAUAUUAAUUUGGCUUUGAAAAAUAUAUUUAUUUAAUGAUAA
rnacentral:lncRNA from 1 species